GUGGCGGCGAACGCGGAGAGCACGCCAUGAAGGCCUCGGGCACACUACGAGAGUACAAAUUAAAGAAGAUGAAGAAGUCUUCAGGGGAGAUUGUCUACUGUGGGCAGGUGUUUGAGAAGUUCCCCUUGCGGGUGAAGAACUUCGGGAUCUGGCUGCGCUAUGACUCCCGGAGCGGCACCCACAACAUGUACCGGGAAUACCGGGACCUGACCACCGCAGGCGCUGUCACCCGGUGCUACCGAGACAUG
rnacentral:lncRNA from 1 species